GGGUGCGAUCAUACCAGCACUAAUGCACCGGAUCCCAUCAGAACUCCGAAGUUAAGCGUGCUUGGGCGAGAGUAGUACUAGGUUGGGUGACCUCCUGGGAAGUCCUCGUGUUGCACCCC
rnacentral:rRNA from 1 species